rnacentral:rRNA from 1 species
AACGAACGCUGGCGGCAUGCCUAACACAUGCAAGUCGAACGAGACCUUCGGGUCUAGUGGCGCACGGGUGCGUAACGCGUGGGAACCUGCCCUUAGGUUCGGAAUAACUCCCCGAAAGGGGUGCUAAUACCGGAUAAUGUCUUCGGACCAAAGAUUUAUCGCCUUUGGAUGGGCCCGCGUUGGAUUAGCUAGUUGGUAGGGUAAAAGCCUACCACGGCGACGAUCCAUAGCUGGUCUGAGAGGAUGAUCAGCCACACUGGGACUGAGACACGGCCCAGACUCCUACGGGAGGCAGCAGUGGGGAAUAGUGGACAAUGGGCGAAAGCCUGAUCCAGCAAUGACGCGUGAGUGAUGAAGGCCUUAGGGUUGUAAAGCUCUUUUACCCGGGAUGAUAAUGACAGUACCGGGAGAAUAAGCGCCGGCUAACUCCGUG